rnacentral:rRNA from 1 species
UACGUAGGGCGCAAGCGUUAUCCGGAAUUAUUGGGCGUAAAGAGCUCGUAGGCGGUUUGUCGCGUCUGCCGUGAAAGUCCGGGGCUCAACUCCGGAUCUGCGGUGGGUACGGGCAGACUAGAGUGAUGUAGGGGAGACUGGAAUUCCUGGUGUAGCGGUGAAAUGCGUAGAUAUCAUUUGGAACGCCAAUGGUGAAAACAGCUCGCUGGGGGUGUGCUGACGCUGAGACACGAAAGCCAGGGGAGCAAACGGG